rnacentral:tRNA from 1 species
GCUCUCAUAGCUCAGGUGGUAGAGCGCAUCCUUGAAGGAUGAGGUCGGCAGUUCGACUCUGCCUGAGAGCA